GCCGGAGUGGCGGAAUCGGCAGACGCAGCGGAUUCAAAAUCCGCCGCCCUUAACAGGCGUGUGGGUUCAACUCCCUCCUCCGGCA
rnacentral:tRNA from 1 species